rnacentral:rRNA from 1 species
GUCCACGCCGUAAACGAUGAAUGCCAGCCGUUGGCGAGCUUGCUCGUCAGUGGCGCAGCUAACGCUUUAAGCAUUCCGCCUGGGGAGUACGGUCGCAAGAUUAAAACUCAAAGGAAUUGACGGGGGCCCCGCACAAGCGGUGGAGCAUGUGGUUUAAUUCGAAGCAACGCGCAGAACCUUACCAGCCUUUGACAUGUCCCGUAUGGGUGCCGGAGACGGCAUCCUUCAGUUCGGCUGGCGGGAACACAGGUGCUGCAUGGCUGUCGU